GGGGAAUAUUGGACAAUGGGCGAAAGCCUGAUCCAGCAAUGCCGCGUGAGUGAUGAAGGCCUUAGGGUUGUAAAGCUCUUUUACCCGGGAAGAUAAUGACUGUACCGGGAGAAUAAGCCCCGGCUAACUCCGUGCCAGCAGCCGCGGUAAUACGGAGGGGGCUAGCGUUGUUCGGAAUUACUGGGCGUAAAGCGUACGUAGGCGGCUUGGUAAGUUAGAGGUGAAAGCCUGGGGCUCAACCCCAGAAUUGCCUUUAAGACUGCCUCGCUUGAACGUCGGAGAGGUGAGUGGAAUUCCGAGUGUAGAGGUGAAAUUCGUAGAUAUUCGGAAGAACACCAGUGGCGAAGGCGGCUCACUGGACGACUGUUGACGCUGAGGUACGAAAGCGUGGGGAGCAAAC
rnacentral:rRNA from 1 species